AAAACUGAACCGCAUCAACUAAA
rnacentral:snRNA from 1 species